GAGAUUCGAUUUUGAAACACCACCCCCCGAAUGUCACAAAUUAACCAAUGUGUUCCUCAUAGACUUAAAAUGAAUAACACUAGCAGUAAGAAAGCGCCCUACAAAGCAACAGUCAAGAUCCUGAUUAAUAUCUUCACCAUCGUAUCAGUUUGUCAAGCCUCAUCGUCUCCUUCUUUGAUCAACAAUCAUGCAAGAGCAACCUCUAUCAUGAAGACAAAAAGAUCCCAAAAAGAGAAAAACCCAACAAAAUGACAAAAAAGAAGAGAAAAUG
rnacentral:lncRNA from 1 species